rnacentral:rRNA from 1 species
CACGCCGUAAACGAUGGGCACUAGGUGUGGGGGGUGUCGACUCCCUCCGUGCCGAAGCUAACGCAUUAAGUGCCCCGCCUGGGGAGUACGGCCGCAAGGCUAAAACUCAAAGGAAUUGAC